AACGGCGAGUGAAGCGGCAAUAGCUCAAAUUUGAAAUCUGGCUUCGGUCCGAAUUGUAAUUUGUAGAGGAUGCUUCGGCUUCGGCUUGGGUCUAAGUUCCUUGGAACAGGACGUCACAGAGGGUGAGAAUCCCGUACGUGGCCCUUGCCCCCGCCAUGUGAAGCUCCUUCGACGAGUCGAGUUGUUUGGGAAUGCAGCUCUAAAUGGGAGGUAAAUUUCUUCUAAAGCUAAAUAUUGGCCAGAGACCGAUAGCGCACAAGUAGAGUGAUCGAAAGAUGAAAAGCACUUUGGAAAGAGAGUUAAAAAGUACGUGAAAUUGUUGAAAGGGAAGCGCUUGCAAUCAGACUUGCCCGCGGUUGCUCAGCCGGUCUUCUGACCGGUGCACUCUUCCGCGGUCAGGCCAGCAUCAGUUUGGGCGGUCGGAUAAAGGCUUAGGGAAUGUGGCUCCCCUCGGGGAGUGUUAUAGCCCUUUGUGUAAUGCGGCCCGCCUGGACUGAGGUCCGCGCUUCGGCUAGGAUGCUGGCGUAAUGGUUGUAAGCGGCCCGUCUUGAAACACGGACCAAGGAGUCUAACAUCUAUGCGAGUGUUUGGGUGUCAAACCCGUGCGCGAAAUGAAAGUGAACGGAGGUGGGAACCUUAGGGUGCACCAUCGACCGAUCCUGAUGUCUUCGGAUGGAUUUGAGUAUGAGCAUAGCUGUUGGGACCCGAAAGAUGGUGAACUAUGCCUGAAUAGGGUGAAGCCAGAGGAAACUCUGGUGGAAGGGCUCGCAGCGGUUCUGACGUGCAAAUCGAUCGUCAAAUUUGGGUAUAGGGGCGAAAGACUAAUCGA
rnacentral:rRNA from 1 species